rnacentral:rRNA from 1 species
GACAUGGACUACCAGUGCUAUGUGAUGCGCUCUCGACGAGUCGAGUUGUUUGGGAAUGCAGCUCAAAAUGGGUGGUAAACUCCAUCUAAAGCUAAAUACAGGCGAGAGACCGAUAGCGAACAAGUACCGUGAGGGAAAGAUGAAAAGAACUUUGGAAAGAGAGUUAAACAGUACGUGAAAUUGCUGAAAGGGAAACGCUUGAUGUCAGUCGCGUUGGCUGGGGAUCAACCUUGCUUCUCGCUGGGUGUACUUCCCGGUUGACGGGUCAGCAUCAGUUUCAGUCGCCGUACAAGGGUGAAGGGAACGUGGCACUCUUCGGAGUGUGUUAUAGCCUUUCAUCGCAUGCGGUGGUUGGGACUGAGGAGCUCAGCACGGCUUCUUGCUUGUGCUCAGGAUGCUGGCAUAAUGGCCUUAAGCGACCCGUCUUGAAACACGGACCAAGGAGUCUAACAUGCCUGCGAGUGUUUGGGUGGUAAACCCGAGCGCGUAAUGAAAGUGAAAGUUGAGACCUCUGUCGUGGAGGGCAUCGACGCCCGGACCUGAGUCUUUGACAACGGAUCUGCGGUAGAGCAUGUAUGUUGGGACCCGAAAGAUGGUGAACU